AUGGGCGACUACGGCAGCGCGAUGACGCGGGGCAACGCGGACGGCGGCUCGCAGGGCCGCCCAAAGGGAGUGCCCCGCGCCAACGUCCAGCAGCUCAAGCUCAUGGGGCAGGGCCACCCGACUGGUCUCACGCCGAACCUGCUCAAGCUGUUCGAGGCGCGGCCUAUGCUCGAGCACAAGCCGCCCGUCCAGAAGCGCAAGUUGCCAUCCUACACGGGGAUGGCGCAGUUUGUGUCGCGGUUUGCCGAGCCUGGCGACCCAGAGUAUGCGCCGCCUGUCCCAACGUGUGAGACUAAGGCCGAAAAGAAGGAUAGAAUCAGGAAACUUAAGCUUGAGCAAGGGGCAGAUAAGGUCGCCAAAGAGCUUCAGAACUAUGACCCACAAAGUGACCCCAAUACCACUUCAGAUCCAUACAAAACACUCUUCGUUGCAAGACUUAAUUAUGAGACAUCUGAGAGCAGGGUUAAGCGGGAGUUUGAAGCCUAUGGGCCUAUUAAAAGGGUACGGCUCGUAACUGACAAGGAUACCAAUAAACCUAGAGGAUAUGCAUUCAUAGAGUAUAUGCAUACUCGGGAUAUGAAAAAUGCUUACAAGCAAGCUGAUGGGAGAAAAGUGGACAAUAAGAGGGUACUAGUUGAUGUGGAACGUGGUAGAACUGUCCCUAAUUGGCGUCCCAGGAGAUUAGGCGGUGGACUUGGAUCAAGCAGAAUUUGUGGUGCAAGUGCUGACCAGAAGCCGCCUGCCAGGGAGCCAUUGAGUGUUGGGCGCCCCAGAUCAGAAGAACCUAAGAGGGGUGAUUCCCGCGUAGAUAGAGAUCGGGAGAAGUCUCGUGAAAGGGUACGGGAAAGAGACCGCGAUGAAAAUCCCCGUGAGCGUUCUCAUGACAGAAUACGUGAGCUUGAUUCAAGGGAAGAGAGGCACCACCAUAGAGAUCGGGACAGGACUCGGGACAGGGACCGAGGAAGGGACCGGGAAAAAGACCAUGGGCGUGACCGUGACCGUGAUCGUCGGGACAGAGAUAGGGAUAGGGACCGUGGUAGGGAUCAUGAUAGGGAGAAGGAUCGUGGCCUCUCAUGA
rnacentral:rRNA from 1 species